ACCAUUCCUUCGGGCCUGGGGACAGCGGCGAACGGGUGAGUAACACGUGAGUAAUCAACCCUCGGCACCGGGAUAGCCCGGGGAAACCCGGAUUAAUACCGGAUGGCCCAUCCGCUUUUUGGAGCGGCUGGAAAAGGUAGCUUCGGCCUCUGGCCGAGGACGAGCUCGCGGCCGAUUAGCUUGUUGGUGGGGUAAUGGCUCACCAAGGCUCCGAUCGGUAGGUGGUCUGAGAGGACGAUCAGCCACACUGGGACUGAGACACGGCCCAGACUCCUACGGGAGGCAGCAGUGGGGAAUCUUGCGCAAUAGGGGAAACCCUGACGCAGCGACGCCGCGUGCGGGAAGAAGGCCUUCGGG
rnacentral:rRNA from 1 species